UAACGCGUGAGGAACCUGCCUCAAAGAGGGGGACAACAGUUGGAAACGACUGCAAAUACCGCAUAAGCCCACGACCCGGCAUCGGGUUGAGGGAAAAGGAGCAAUCCGCUUUGAGAUGGCCUCGCGUCCGAUUAGCUAGUUGGUGAGGUAACGGCCCACCAAGGCGACGAUCGGUAGCCGGACUGAGAGGUUGAACGGCCACAUUGGGACUGAGACACGGCCCAGACUCCUACGGGAGGCAGCAGUGGGGAAUAUUGCACAAUGGGGGAAACCCUGAUGCAGCGACGCCGCGUGGAGGAAGAAGGUCUUCGGAUUGUAAACUCCUGUUGUUGAGGAAGAUAAUGACGGUACUCAACAAGGAAGUGACGGCUAACUACGUGCCAGCAGCCGCGGUAAAACGUAGGUCACAAGCGUUGUCCGGAAUUACUGGGUGUAAAGGGAGCGCAGGCGGGAAGACAAGUUGGAAGUGAAAUCCAUGGGCUCAACCCAUGAACUGCUUUCAAAACUGUUUUUCUUGAGUAGUGCAGAGGUAGGCGGAAUUCCCGGUGUAGCGGUGGAAUGCGUAGAUAUCGGGAGGAACACCAGUGGCGAAGGCGGCCUACUGGGCACCAACUGACGCUGAGGCUCGAAAGUGUGGGUAGCAAACAGGAUUAGAUACCCUGGUAGUCCACACUGUAAACGAUGAUUACUAGGUGU
rnacentral:rRNA from 1 species